rnacentral:rRNA from 1 species
GAUGAACGCUAGCGGGAGGCCCAACACAUGCAAGCCGAGCGGUAUUUCUUCUUCGGGAGAGAGAGAGCGGCGUACGGGUGCGGAACACGUGUGCAACCUGCCUUUAUCUAGAGGAUAGCCUUUCGAAAGGAAGAUUAAUACUCUAUAAUAUAUUAAUUGGCAUCAAUUGAUAUUGAAAACUCCGGUGGAUAGAGAUGGGCACGCGCAAGAUUAGCUAGUUGGUGAGGUAACGGCUCACCAAGGCAAUGAUCUUUAGGGGGCCUGAGAGGGUGAUCCCACACACUGGUACUAAGACACGGACCAGACUCCUACGGGAGGCAGCAGUGAGGAAUAUUGGUCAAUGGGUGCAAGCCUGAACCAGCCAUCCCGCGUGAAGGAUUAAGGUCCUAUGGAUUGUAAACUUCUUUUGUAUAGGGAUAAACCUACCCUCGUGAGGGUAGCUGAAGGUACUAUACGAAUAAGCACCGGCUAACUCCGUGCCAGCCGCCGCCGUAA